GACGAACGCUGGCGGCGUGCUUAACACAUGCAAGUCGAACGGAAAGGCCCUGCUCUUGUGGGGUGCUCGAGUGGCGAACGGGUGAGUAUCACGCGAGUAUCCUGCCCUUGACUUUGGGAUAACUUCAGGAAACUGGGGCUAAUAUCGGAUAGGAGCUCCUGCAGCAUGGUGGGGGUUGGAAAGUUUCGGCGGUUGGGGAUGGGCUCGCGGCUUAUCAGCUUGUUGGUGGGGUAGUGGCGUACCAAGGCUUUGACGGGUAGCCGGCCUGAGAGGGUGACCGGCCACAAUAGGACUGAGGUACGGCGCAGACUCCAACGGGAGGCAACAGGGGAGAGUAUUACACAGUAAGCGGAAGCCUGAUACGACAGCGCCGCGUGCGGAAUGACGGCCUUCGGGUUAAAAACCGCUUUCGCCUGUGACGAAGCGUGAGUGACGGUAAUGAGUAAAGAAGCACCGGCUAACUACGUG
rnacentral:rRNA from 1 species